rnacentral:rRNA from 3 species
UACCGGAAGGUGCGGCUGGAUCACCUCCUUUCU